UGAAUGAAUUAAUAUAUAGCCACUAUGCAUACUGGCUAAAGAUUGAUCUAGGUAAUUGAUUUCCUCCAAUGAAAGUAGACUAUGGGGCUUCUGAUUUUGGCUAGAAGACUUUUAUCAGGCUAACUACUUAAGUCAAAAAUUAGAUUUAGUUAUAUACACAGAAACACAGAUGGGGCUAAAUCAAGAAGUUACCAAAGCAGGAAGAAUUUGAAGAACUAAGACUAUGCCCAAAAGGUAAUGGCUUGGACAAUGAAGUGGAAGUCACAAUUGGACUAAGAGAAGCUACAAGACAGAAGAAACUUAGGUCCCUGGUGAUAACAGAGCUCUUACAGCAAGCCCAAACUGAUUAUAUUUCGACCUCAUGAAUAAGACAGAAGUGAAUUUCUUGUUUAAACUAUAUUAUGUUUUUAUUUCAUUCAGACCCAAACCUAAUACUGAGUUCCCAAAAGUAUUUCCCAAAACUAAAGAACAUCCUUCUGAAAGUAGAUUUCAGCCUAGUAUUCAUAGUAUACAAAAGGAUCUCUUACAACAAAAUGGGACUUAAAAAUGAACAAAGGACUUUACAAAUAUUUCUCAAAAGAAAAUAUAAAAGUGAAACAAUGCUUAACAUACUAGUCAUUAAGGAAAUUCAAAUCAAAGGCAGAGUGAGAUACCACUUCAUACUCACUAGGAUGACUAUAAUUUUUUUAAAUGCACAAUAACAAGUACCAUCAAGGAUGUGAAGAAAUUGGAACCCUCAUACACUGCUGAGUGGGAAUAUAUAUUGUAGUUGCUAUGGAAAACUGUUUGGUAUCUUCAAAAAGUUAAUCACAGAGUUACCAGCCAUUGCAUUCCUAUCUACAUAGUCAAAAGAACUGAAAACAGGUAAUAAUACCUGGAACAGUACAUGAAUACACUUAUUUACAAUAGUGAGAAAGCGAAAACAAUCCAAAACUCUAUAAUGAACAGGUAAGCAAAUUGUGGUAUAUACCUCCAAUGGAAUUCAGCCUUCAAAGAAGAAAAUACACUAUUUGGAUGAACCUCAAAAACAUUCUGUUAAAUGAAAGAAGUCACACACAAAAGGCCACUUGUUAUAUGAUCCUAAUUACAUGAAAUAUCCAGCAUCUGUAGAGAUAGAACGCAGAAUGGUGGUUACAGUGACUGUGUAAUGCACUAAGCACUGUGAAGUUAUCCACUUUAAAGUGGUUAAUUUUGUUAUGUGAACUUUAGUUCCUAUUUUUUAAAAAAUGUGUAUGCAAAACAAAAAAUCCAUAACUACAUAACCAACAAAGCCUAUUAUGAAUAAAAUAAGCUUCUGUUCCACAGUCCUAAUUAAGAAACAAAAUUUUAAAAAAUAACGGUGACACAGUUAGAACCAUGUUUAAACCUAUUUGAUCAACAAUAAUCUACCCUAGUUUAAUCUUAACUAUCGGUGAGAUUUGCUUUGAUAAUCUUUCUUUUGGAAGUCAAUUCAAUGACAGCCUCAGUUUGGAUGGUCAACAAUUUAACAAUGAAUCUGUCAUAAACUGACUUCUGAAACCCAGCUGGACAUGUCUUGGCAGAAGAACCAUGUUUAUAACCUUGAUAUCAAUUCACCUGUCACCAACACAUCACAAAAACAAUCUCUGACUCAAAAACUCCAUGCAAAUUUAGCAGUUGGACUUACUCAAAAUGACUGAACCUAAAGCAGCAUAUCUCUCCUUUCUUUAAGUAAUAUUUUUGUUUCAGGUAUCAAGCAACAAUCUUGGUCUAUUCCUCAGAUAAUUUUCACAUAGAGAUUAUUCAGAAGUCCUCUCGACAGUAUCCUCUUGACAGUGGACCACUGGACUAACAGGAGAGGUCCCCAGCCUCCUGAGCCCCAAGCUCCAACACUGUUCAGAUCUGCUGCCAGAUGUAUUUCAACAUGAUGAUCCUCAUUUAAAAGAAGCAAUUCACCUACCACCUCUAUACAGCAAAUGAAGUAACAGAAGAACUGUGCUGGGAUGAGAGAAAAAAAAAGAUUUCUACCAGAAAGACUUCUGGGGGAAACAGAACGGGUUUAUAAAAUGCUACUUGUUGCAAAAAAAAUUCCACAACAAAA